rnacentral:lncRNA from 1 species
CAUGGACAGGAAACAGACUCAGCUACUAUCUGCUUACCUUGUCCGAGAAUAAAUUAGGUGAUUUACUCUGAGUAUCCAGCACUUGCAGGGAGCUGUGCAGUUCACAUCUGCCCCGAAGUCUCUUUGUCUUUUUAUAAAGAGAAAAAGGGGUUGCGAGUAAAUAGUUUCAGAGCCUGCUGACCACCAGCCUGUGUCUUAGCUGGCAUGUGUCACUAGCGGAAUGAGUGAGUUACUCAGUGAUCUCAUAAGUAGUUAUUGUAUCUCUAUUAUGUGCUGGUAACCACUCUAGGCACUUCCCAUAAAGAACCUUAUAUUCAAGUGCACCUGUUGCAUAAAAAUUUUCCCAGAUCUGUCACUUUUUAAAACCUUUUCACUUUACAGUAAUUUUAUGUGCACAGAAGAGUUGCCAAAAUAGUGGCCAGCGUUCCCCAUGCUGUCACUUGUUUCUCUACUGUCAACAUCUCAGAAAACCACAGCACUGUGAUCAAAAUGAAGACAUUUGCAUCGGGGCGAUACUAAGUAAACGACAGAUUCCAGACGGCACAGCACAUUGCUGCAGUUCUACAUGGAGGACCACGUUGGAAGUGUUUCUUAUGGUUGUCCUUGAUUUAUUGUACAAAGGCUGCCUGCAUGUCCACCCUCUGUCUGUGGAAAUGAAGCAUAAGCACCAGAGGAGAUCAGAGUUAUCGUUUCAGUUGACAUCUGUAAUUGGCUGCAGGACUGGCACACAUUUGAGCUUCCCAACAAACGAAGUCAUCAGGGCAAUGUAUAGCAAACUUAAGUGUGCACGUGAUUAAAAACGACCUGGAAGUUUGCUGGAAGAAAUCAGAUGGACAUGGACACUUGUGUUCAAAACCCAAACUUAUGCCCUAUAAUUUCCUAAAGUACACAGGAUAACAAGCACCCUCUCGCAGCAAGGCAGUCCAACAACUCAAGAGAACAAUCCAUAAAAGAGAUUUUUUGAGGUACAAAGUUAAGUGAAGGCUAGAAAACCACAUUUCUGGUCACUUAGAUUGACUGCAGGACAAUAGUCAGACUAGCUCAUAUGUUGAGAAUAACUGUGCAAGAACCGAGGCAUGAUCACGGCUGUUUGAGGUUGCAAGUGGUGGUGGCGUUGGCAUCGGCGGGGAGGGAUGGUUGAGUCAGGUAAAUGGAGUGAAGUGGUACCAAUGUCCAGUUGUAAAAUGGGCAAGUUCCAGGGAUAAAGAGUACAGCACAGGCAGUACAACCAGUAAUAUUGUCAUAAUGUGCGGCGACAGACAGGGACGAGGCUUCUGAGCUGAGCACAUGUAUAGAAU